rnacentral:rRNA from 1 species
UACGUAGGGUGCGAGCGUUGUCCGGAAUUAUUGGGCGUAAAGAGCUCGUAGGCGGCUUGUCGCGUCGGCUGUGAAAACCUGGGGCUCAACCCCGGGCCUGCAGUCGAUACGGGCAGACUAGAGUUCGGUAGGGGAGACUGGAAUUCCUGGUGUAGCGGUGAAAUGCGCAGAUAUCAGGAGGAACACCGGUGGCGAAGGCGGAUCUCUGGGCCUUACCUGACGCUCAGGCGCGAAAGCUAGGGGAGCGAACUGG